UAGAAAUGCAAAAGGAAAACACAGGUGUAUGUAUCAAAAAGUUCAGGUUAGAAGAUUAUUAUGGAGUUUGAUGUACUGGACAUCUCACUGUGAUGGUAAAUAGGU